rnacentral:rRNA from 1 species
AGUGAACGCUGGCGGUAGGCCUAACACAUGCAAGUCGAACGGCAGCACAGUAAGAGCUUGCUCUUACGGGUGGCGAGUGGCGGACGGGUGAGGAAUACAUCGGAAUCUACUUUUUCGUGGGGGAUAACGUAGGGAAACUUACGCUAAUACCGCAUACGACCUACGGGUGAAAGCAGGGGAUCUUCGGACCUUGCGCGAUUGAAUGAGCCGAUGGCGGAUUAGCUAGUUGGCGGGGUAAAGGCCCACCAAGGCGACGAUCCGUAGGGGUUCUGAGAGGAAGGUGCGCAACAUUGGAACGGGGACACGGGCCAAACUCCUACGGGAGGCAGCAGUGAGGAAUAUUGGUCAAUGGAAGAGAGUCUGAACCAGUCAAGUAGAGUGCAGGAGGACGGCCCUAUGGGUUGUAAACUGCUUUUAUAAGGGAAUAAAGUGAGUCUCGUGAGACUUUUUGAAUGUACCUUAUGAAUAAGGACCGGCUAAUUCCGUG